GGGAGACAUGUCUGUAUGUAGUGUUAUGCUAUGAGGGUAGGUUAGUGGUAGACAUGUCUGUAUGUAGUGUUAUGAUAUGAGGGUAGGUUAGUGGUAGACAUGCCUGUUUGUAGUGUUAUGAUAUGAGGGUAGGUUAGUGGUAGACAUGUCUGUAUGUAGUGUUAUGAUAUGAGGGUAGGUUAGUGGUAGACAUGUCUGUAUGUAGUGUUAUGGUAUGAGUGUAGGUUAGUGUUAGACAUGUCUGUAUGUAGUGUUAUGAUAUGAGGGUAGGUUAGUGGUAGACAUGUCUGUAUGUAGUGUUAUGAUAUGAGGGGUAGGUUAGUGUUAGACAUGUCUGUAUGUAGUGUUAUGAUGUGAGGGUAGGUUAGUGGUAGACAUGUCUGUAUGUAGUGUUAUGAUAUGAGGGGUAGGUUAAUGUUAUGAUAUGAGGGUAGGUUAGUGGUAGACAUGUCUGUAUGUAGUGUUAUGAUAUGAGGGUAGGUUAGUGGUAGACAUGUCUGUAUGUAGUGUUAUGAUAUGAGGGUAGGUUAGUGGUAGACAUGUCUGUAUGUAGUGUUAUGAUAUGAGGGGUAGGUUAGUGUUAUGAUAUGAGGGUAGGUUAGUGUUAUGAUAUGAGGGUAGGUUAGUGUUAGACAUGUCUGUAUGUAGUGUUAUGAUAUGAGGGUAGGUUAGUGGUAGACAUGUCUGUAUGUAGUGUUAUGAUAUGAGGGUAGGUUAGUGUUAUGAUAUGAGGGUAGGUUAGUGUUAGACAUGUCUGUAUGUAGUGUUAUGAUAUGAGGGUAGGUUAGUGUUAGACAUGUCUGUAUGUAGUGUUAUGAUAUGAGGGGUAGGUUAGUGUUAUGAUAUGAGGGUAGGUUAGUGUUAUGAUAUGAAGGUAGGUUAGUGUUAUGAUAUGAGGGGUAGGUUAGUGUUAUGAUAUGAGGGUAGGUUAGUGGUAGACAUGUCUGUAUGUAGUGUUAUGAUAUGAGGGGUAGGUUAGUGUUAUGAUAUGAGGGUAGGUUAGUGG
rnacentral:lncRNA from 1 species